CCCUUGUCCUUAGUUACCAGCACGUUAUGGUGGGCACUCUAAGGAGACUGCCGGUGACAAACCGGAAGAAGGUGGGGAGUGACGUCAAGUCAUCAUGGCCCUUACGGCCUGGGCUACACACGUGCUACAAUGGUCGGUACAAAGGGUUGCCAAGCCGCGAGGUGGAGCUAAUCCCAUAAAACCGAUCGUAGUCCGGAUCGCAGUCUGCAACUCGACUGCGUGAAGUCGGAAUCGCUAGUAAUCGUGAAUCAGAAUGUCACGGUGAAUACGUUCCCGGGCCUU
rnacentral:rRNA from 1 species